UGAGACCAGAUGGAACCUACAAGAGAGG
rnacentral:piRNA from 1 species